AGGAGGAACACAUGAUAUACCAGGAAAGAGAUUUGAAAAUGUUCGGACAACAUUAUUCAAGAUAACUAAGAACCAGGCCUUGGGGAGGAGAUAAAGAAAUAGUAACUGCUUGUUUAAUUGGGAUGCAGCCAUGAUUUUUUCACUAUAUCCAAAAUGCCUGGGAGGCAAUCAUCAGAGAAUAAAUUCAGUAGUGGUAGGACUACAGGUUCCUCAUCUAUAAAAUGAGCUAGAGAAGGAAAUGGAAAACCACUAUAUUUGCCAAGAAAACUCCAAAUGGGACACUAAUGCAUUGCUGGUAGAGUUGUGAAUUGAUCCAACCAUUCUGGAAGGCAACUUG
rnacentral:lncRNA from 1 species